rnacentral:lncRNA from 1 species
CAAUUGUUCAGCUAUUUCAGCUCAUGAUAAAAGUUUGGUGACUAUAACAGUAAGCAAAAUGCAUUUAUAGGGCUUCUUUAUUAUUUAUCAUUAUUUAAUAUUUAAUAUUCAUAUCUUUUAAAAAGGAUUGCCUUUUUUCGGAAAUGCCUGAGUGUCCUAAUAAGAGAGAGGAUCCAGACAGGAAAACUCUGAGAGAGCUUCAGCUGCUAAGAGUCAAUGAAGCUCCAUUUGGAAAGGCAGAGUAUCUUCACCUAAAAGGUGUUUGGUUGUUAUACAAACAAUUAGUAGGAGAAGACUACAACAUCAGUUCUGUUGGCAGGGGAAGGCACAGCCAUGGCCAAUCCAAUCCAAUUAAACCAUGCCUGCGGUAUGCAGAUGAACAGCAAAAGUGUAAAUCAGAACAUUAAUACUACGCUGCUUUCUCCAAGACACUGACAACCUGAUUCUGAGAGGUGCUGAGUGCACUAUGAGGAAGCAAGGAGAUGUGCUGCAUAAAAAGCACAUAGCAUGAGAGAGGAGCUGCAAAACUAAAAUAUCUUGGAGAAUUAACAUGGCUCUCACAUCAUGUGUGGAGGGUAAUACCAGAAAUUUCUAUCCCAGAAGGAGUUGUGACAUGUCAAAAUUUCUUGUCAGCCUGAAUAAGAACAAAGAAUUGAAAUUUUUGAGUUUUUCAAGAAAUUAAGUUUCCAAGAAGACCCUACUUCUAUUCUAAGUAUGAAAAUGAGUUUACAGCAGUGCUUUAUUCUUAGCCUUCCUAUUUUGUUACAUAAUGUAUCAAGAUAGCACUGAAAUGAAGUUACUUACCUUGGUGAAAUUAAAUGUUUCCAUAACUUUGUAUAAAUAAUUUCAAAGAAAUCAAUACAUUCUGCUGGAAUACUUUGACUUGAUUGAAUCAUGAUUUUUCAGUGAAAUUUUUUUUACUAGAAAAAUAAAAGAUCACUG